rnacentral:rRNA from 1 species
GAUGAACGCUGGCGGCGUGCCUAAUACAUGCAAGUCGAGCGAACAGACGAGGAGCUUGCUCCUCUGACGUUAGCGGCGGACGGGUGAGUAACACGUGGAUAACCUACCUAUAAGACUGGGAUAACUUCGGGAAACCGGAGCUAAUACCGGAUAACAUGUUGAACCGCAUGGUUCAACAGUGAAAGACGGUCUUGCUGUCACUUAUAGAUGGAUCCGCGCCGCAUUAGCUAGUUGGUAAGGUAACGGCUUACCAAGGCAACGAUACGUAGCCGACCUGAGAGGGUGAUCGGCCAAACUGGAACUGAGACACGGUCCAGACUCCUACGGGAGGCAGCAGUAGGGAAUCUUCCGCAAUGGGCGAAAGCCUGACGGAGCAACGCCGCGUGAGUGAAGAAGGUCUUCGGAUCGUAAAACUCUGUUAUUAGGGAAGAACAAAUGUGUAAGUAACUAUGCACGUCUUGACGGUACCUAAUCAGAAAGCCACGGCUAACUACGUG